UACGGGGGGGGUAAGCGUUGUUCGGAAUUACUGGGCGUAAAGGGCUCGUAGGCGGCCAACUAAGUCAAACGUGAAAUCCCUCAGCUUAACUGGGGAACUGCGUCUGAUACUGGAUGGCUUGGAUUCGGGAGAGGAAUGCGGAAUUCCGAGGUGUAGGCGGUGAAAUGCGUAGAUAUCUGGAAGGAACACCGGUGGCGAAGGCAGCUCGCUGGGACGGUACUGACGCUGAGACGCGAAAGCGUGGGGAGCAAACAGGAUAGAA
rnacentral:rRNA from 1 species